AUGCUUUUGUUAAUUCAUAAACAUGAUGAUUGGGUUUUCACACUCCUGUGGUGUGAGUUAUGCCUCCCUCAAACCUUGUUAUGAUGUUAGCACAUUACCUGUCUGACA
ensembl:snoRNA